rnacentral:rRNA from 1 species
UUAAGCGACUAAGCGUACACGGUGGAUGCCCUGGCAGUCAGAGGCGAUGAAGGACGUGCUAAUCUGCGAAAAGCGUCGGUAAGGUGAUAUGAACCGUUAUAACCGGCGAUGUCCGAAUGGGGAAACCCAGUGCAAUUCGUUGCACUAUCGUUAACUGAAUACAUAGGUUAACGAGGCGAACCGGGGGAACUGAAACAUCUAAGUACCCCGAGGAAAAGAAAUCAACCGAGAUUCCCCCAGUAGCGGCGAGCGAACGGGGAGCAGCCCAGAGUCUGAAUCAGCUUGUGUGUUAGUGGAACGGUCUGGAAAGUCCGACGGUACAGGGUGAUAGUCCCGUACACCAAAAUGCACAGGCUGUGAACUCGAAGAGUAGGGCGGGACACGUGGUAUCCUGUCUGAAUAUGGGGGGACCAUCCUCCAAGGCUAAAUACUCCUGACUGACCGAUAGUGAACCAGUACCGUGAGGGAAAGGCGAAAAGAACCCCGGCGAGGGGAGUGAAAAAGAACCUGAAACCGUGUACGUACAAGCAGUGGGAGCACCUUCGGGUGUGACUGCGUACCUUUUGUAUAAUGGGUCAGCGACUUAUAUUCUGUAGCAAGGUUAACCGUAUAGGGGAGCCGCAGGGAAACCGAGUCUUAACUGGGCGUUAAGUUGCAGGGUAUAGACCCGAAACCCGGUGAUCUAGCCAUGGGCAGGUUGAAGGUUGGGUAACACUAACUGGAGGACCGAACCGACUAAUGUUGAAAAAUUAGCGGAUGACUUGUGGCUGGGGGUGAAAGGCCAAUCAAACCGGGAGAUAGCUGGUUCUCCCCGAAAGCUAUUUAGGUAGCGCCUCGUGAACUCAUCUUCGGGGGUAGAGCACUGUUUCGGCUAGGGGGUCAUCCCGACUUACCAACCCGAUGCAAACUACGAAUACCGAAGAAUGUUAUCACGGGAGACACACGGCGGGUGCUAACGUCCGUCGUGAAGAGGGAAACAACCCAGACCGCCAGCUAAGGUCCCAAAGUCAUGGUUAAGUGGGAAACGAUGUGGGAAGGCACAGACAGCCAGGAUGUUGGCUUAGAAGCAGCCAUCAUUUAAAGAAAGCGUAAUAGCUCACUGGUCGAGUCGGCCUGCGCGGAAGAUGUAACGGGGCUAAACCAUGCACCGAAGCUGCGGCAGCGACACUAUGUGUUGUUGGGUAGGGGAGCGUUCUGUAAGCCUGCGAAGGUGUGCUGUGAGGCAUGCUGGAGGUAUCAGAAGUGCGAAUGCUGACAUAAGUAACGAUAAAGCGGGUGAAAAGCCCGCUCGCCGGAAGACCAAGGGUUCCUGUCCAACGUUAAUCGGGGCAGGGUGAGUCGACCCCUAAGGCGAGGCCGAAAGGCGUAGUCGAUGGGAAACAGGUUAAUAUUCCUGUACUUGGUGUUACUGCGAAGGGGGGACGGAGAAGGCUAUGUUAGCCGGGCGACGGUUGUCCCGGUUUAAGCAUGUAGGCUGAUUGUCCAGGCAAAUCCGGAUAAUCAAGGCUGAGGUGUGAUGACGAGGCACUACGGUGCUGAAGUAACAAAUGCCCUGCUUCCAGGAAAAGCCUCUAAGCAUCAGGUAACAUUAAAUCGUACCCCAAACCGACACAGGUGGUCAGGUAGAGAAUACCAAGGCGCUUGAGAGAACUCGGGUGAAGGAACUAGGCAAAAUGGUGCCGUAACUUCGGGAGAAGGCACGCUGGUGUGUAGGUGAAGUCCCUGCGGAUGGAGCUGAGACCAGUCGAAGAUACCAGCUGGCUGCAACUGUUUAUUAAAAACACAGCACUGUGCAAACACGAAAGUGGACGUAUACGGUGUGACGCCUGCCCGGUGCCGGAAGGUUAAUUGAUGGGGUUAUCCGUAAGGAGAAGCUCUUGAUCGAAGCCCCGGUAAACGGCGGCCGUAACUAUAACGGUCCUAAGGUAGCGAAAUUCCUUGUCGGGUAAGUUCCGACCUGCACGAAUGGCGUAAUGAUGGCCAGGCUGUCUCCACCCGAGACUCAGUGAAAUUGAACUCGCUGUGAAGAUGCAGUGUACCCGCGGCAAGACGGAAAGACCCCGUGAACCUUUACUAUAGCUUGACACUGAACAUUGAGCCUUGAUGUGUAGGAUAGGUGGGAGGCUUUGAAGCGUGGACGCCAGUCUGCGUGGAGCCAACCU